UACGAAGGGGGCUAGCGUUGUUCGGAAUCACUGGGCGUAAAGCGCGCGUAGGUGGAUCAAUUAGUUGAGGGUGAAAUCCCGGGGCUCAACCUCGGAACUGCCUUCAAUACUGUUGAUCUUGAGACCGAGAGAGGUGAGUGGAAUUCCUAGUGUAGAGGUGAAAUUCGUAGAUAUUAGGAAGAACACCAGUGGCGAAGGCGGCUCACUGGCUCGGUACUGACGCUGAGGUGCGAAAGCGUGGGGAGCAAACAGGAUUAGAUACCCCAGUAGUCC
rnacentral:rRNA from 1 species